UACGUAGGGUGCAAGCGUUGUCCGGAAUUAUUGGGCGUAAAGAGCGUGUAGGCGGCCAGACAGGUCUGCUGUGAAAACUCGAGGCUCAACCUCGAGACGCCGGUGGAAACCGUCUGGCUAGAGUCCGGAAGAGGAGAGUGGAAUUCCUGGUGUAGCGGUGAAAUGCGCAGAUAUCAGGAAGAACACCCGUGGCUAAGGCGGCUCUCUAGUACGGUACUGACGCUGAGACGCGAAAGCGUGGGGAGCGAACAGG
rnacentral:rRNA from 1 species